rnacentral:snoRNA from 1 species
AAGACUAUACUUUCAGGGAUCACUUCUAUAGUUCAUUACUAGAAUAGUUUCUCUGAAUGUGUAAGGCGUCAGAAAUCACAAGGAGGAGGCACAGCAUUCUCUAGUGAGUGGGAAGCCGGCUGUUGGCGUUGCUUCGCUGAAACUGCCAUUUGCCAUUGAUAAUCGUUUCUUCUCUUCCAUCGGGAGACUGAGAGGUAGAAAAUGCAGUCUGAAUGGU